CGAAGUUGGAUGGUUAACCGACCGAGCCACCCAGGCACCCCUGUGAGGCAUUGCGUGUGGUCCUGAGGAUGUAAAGUUGAAUAAGGAUGUUCCUGCCUUUCAAAUGCCAAUAAUCCUUGGAGAAGAUAUGCAAACAUGUGAACACUAUACCAUAUGAUAUGCAUGCCCUUCAAGUCCGUUUCUUAGCCUGUCCACAAACAGUUCUGUCAGCUGCACAGUGACCCGGAGUUCCGCAGCUCCACCCGAGUCUGGGGAAGGGGCAAAGACACCGGCUGGGCAGCUUGCUGGAGCCAGGUGCUGUCUCCUCUCUAACCACGUUGGCCAGUGUGACCCUGCACACGUGAUGUUAGGGAGUUGAGACCUGGAAAGAUGAAAAGUGAUUUUCCCGAGCGCCUAGAUCAUUGUCCUCUUCAGCAUCACAGUAGCAAACAUUUGCUUGCCUAGUGCCGACUACUGAUCUAGGCACUUCCCACGUAUUACUGUUCCUGGAGAGAGGUUGGAGCUAUGGCUGCUGGAAUAAGUUGAGAGAUACCACGAAAGAGAAGAGGAUCCCGAGAGAGUGUUGCAAGUUCUGACAGGUAGCAGCUUCACCUAUGGGGAGACAGGCUGGUUGUAAACCAGAAAACAGGUCAGGAACGCCUGAAAACUCUGCCCAUACAUUGUGAAGAACUUCCUGAGGAAGUUUCCUAAAUUGGACACCAAGUAUGAAGCGGACCCCUGGUGCCGGAUCUUGGUGUGCAAAAGAGGCAACUUGGACACAGAGACGGUGCAGAGAUGGCCAUGUGAAGACACAGACACACAAGGAGAAUGCCAUGUGAAGAAGGAGACAGAGGUCAGAAUGAUGUUUCUCUAAGCCAAGGAAUGCCAAGAAUUCCUGACCAUCACGAAGCUAGGACAGAGGCAUGGAGCAGAUUUCUCUCAGCGCCCUUCGAAGAUACAUCUUAACCGUCUAUUAUGGGUACGAAUUAUUGUCAAGAGAUGGAGAAGUAUAUAGUCUUGUGUGCCUCUUUGUCACGUGUCAAUACUGGAAAAGAAACUGAUCAUUAUUGGAAGAAGGAAGAAAAUACAGAUUUCAUGAAAAUAGUUGCUUCAACCUGUUAUGGUCAUUACAAAAAUUACACGCAUUGUACAAUGGAAUAUUAUUUGGCCCUUACAAAGAAAGGAAUCCUGCCAUUUGUGACAAAUGGGUAAAUCUGGAGAACAUUAUGCUAAAUGCGGAAACAUAAAUACUGUAUGAUCUCACUUAUCUGUAGAAUCUAAAAUAGUUGAACUCAUAGAAACACUGAGCAGAACGGUGAUUGCCAGGUAAUUGGGGGCAGAGGGGAUAGAGGAAAUGGGAGACAGUUUGGUUAAAUGUUACAAAGUUUCAGGUAUGCACGAUGAAUAAGUUCUGGAGAUCUAAGGUACAGCACAUUGACUAUAGUUAACAAUACUUCAUUUUGUACUUUUAUACCUAUAAUUUGCUAGGAGGGUAGAUGAUAAGUGUUCAUCACAAAUUAAAAAGAAGGUACCAAAUUAAUUUGUUUAAUUUAAACAAAUUAAAAGUAAUAUGUUAAUUACUUGAUUGUGGUGAUCAUUUCACAAUGUAUAUGUAUAUUAAAACAUCAAGUUGUGCACCUUACAUAUAUACAAUUUUGACUUGUCAAUUACGUCUCCGUAAAACUGAAGGGGAAAAAAAUAAUCUAACUAAUCUUCCUGCAAGCUGACUUUUUAAAGAACUCAGCUAGGGACAUCUCGCAAUAUAACAACAUCUAGGGGACUUUUUAAAAUAAACAUUUUUUAAAUUUAAAUUUUAGGUAGCCAUCAUAGAGUGCAAUAUUGGUUUCAGGAGUAGAAUUCAGUGAUUGGUCAC